GGGCGCGUAGCUCAGGUGGUUAGAGCGCACGCCUGAUAAGCGUGAGGUCGGUGGUUCGAGCCCACUCGUGCCCA
rnacentral:tRNA from 3 species